GACGAACGCUGGCGGCGUGCUUAACACAUGCAAGUCGAACGGAAAGGCCCUGCUUUUGUGGGGUGCUCGAGUGGCGAACGGGUGAGGAACACGUGGGUAACCUGCCCUUGACUUUGGGAUAACUUCAGGAAACUGGGGCUAAUACCGGAUAGGAGCUCCUGCUGCAGGGUGGGGGUGGGAAAGUUUCGGCGGUUGGGGAUGGACUCGCGGCUGAUCAGCUUGUUGGUGGGGUAGUGGCUUACCAAGGCUUUGACGGGUAGCCGGCCUGAGAGGGUGACCGGCCACAUUGGGACUGAGAUACGGCCCAGACUCCUACGGGAGGCAGCAGUGGGGAAUAUUGCCCAAUGGGCGGAAGCCUGAUGCAGCAACGCCGCGUGCGGGAUGACGGCCUUCGGGUUGUAAACCGCUUUCGCCUGUGACGAAGCGUGAGUGACGGUAAUGGGUAAAGAAGCACCGGCUAACUACGUG
rnacentral:rRNA from 1 species